CUAGAUAAUUUUCCAAAAUAGGGCUUUGGUGCAAAUAGCGGUGAGUAGAAACUGUGACACCUAUUCAACCCCCCCUUCUAAGUAUAUUCUGUCACUGAUACCUAACAAACCGGUCGCCCUCGGUGUCCGAAUUGUAGUGUGGAGAAGCAUCCUCAAAGGCGGAUCGGGCCCAAGUCCCCUGGAAGGGGGCACUGGAGAGGGUGAGAGCCUCAUCAUGCCCGAAACCUGAAGCACCACGAGGCAUUGUUGGCGAUUCGAGUUGUUUGGGAAUGCAGCCCCAAUCGGGCGGUAAAUUCCGUCCAAGGCUAAAUACUAGCGAGAGACCGAUAGUGAUCAAGUAUCACGAGGGAAAGAUGAAAAGGACUUUGAAAAAAGAGUCAAAGAGUGCUUCAAAUUGACGGGAGGGAAGCAGAUGGGGGUCGACAAUGUGCGUCGGUCAGAUAUGGAAUGGCGAGAGCCGAUCUGCCAAUCGACUCAGGGCAUGGAGCGACGUGAAUUGUGAUGGUGGCCCAAGCCCGGGUUGUUGACAUGCUCUUGGAGACGUCAUCAUCGCUAUUAUGGUUGGAAGAUCGCGUUGUUUGGUGUGCUUUGGCACCUGUGUGCUCCGGGCGUCGGCCUGUGGGCUCCUCAUUCGGCCCGUCUUAAAACACGGACCAAGGAGUCUGACAUGUGUGUGAGUCAAAUGGCAAGUAAACUCGUAAGGCGCAAGGAAGCUGAAUGGUAGGAUCCCCUUUUGGUAAGGAUAAUUGGCGAUGCGGGAUGAAUCGGAAGCUGGGUUACGGUGCCCAACUGCGCGCUAACCUAGACCCCACAAAGGGUUAUGGUUGAUUAAGACAGCAGGACGGUGGUCAUGGAAGUCAAAAUCUGCUAAGGAGUGUGUAACAACUCAACUGCCGAAUAAACUAGCCCCAAAAAUGGAUAGCACUAAAGUGCACGACUUAUACCCGGCCGUUGGGGCAAGGACUAGGAACCGAUGAGUAGGAGGGCACGCCGGUUGCUGCAAAACCUGGGGCGUGAGCCUGGGUGGAGAGAUCGUCGAUGCAGAUCUUGGUGGUAGUAGCAAAUAUUCAAAUGAGAACUUUGAAGGCCGAAGAGGGGAAAGGUUCUAUGUGAACGACACUUGCAUAUGGGUUAGUCGAUCCUAAGGGACGGGGGAAGCCUAUCUAAUAGCGCUCUAAGUGUGCAGUCCGAAACGGAAUCAGGUUAAAAUUCCUGAAACGGGACGUGGCAGCUGACGACAACGUUAGGGAGUCCGAAGACGUUGGUAGAGGCCGCGGAAAGAGUUAUCUUUUCUAUUUAAUAGACUGCCCACCUUGGAAACGGCUCAGCCGGAGGUAGGGUCCAGUGGCUGGAAGAGCACCGCACGUCGCGUGGUGUCCAGUGCGCCCCCGAUGGCCCUUGAAAAUCCAGAGGACCGAGUGCCCUCCCACACCCGGUCGUAUUCAUAACCGCAUCAGGUCUCCAAGGUGAACAACCUGUGGUCGAUGGAACAAUGUAGGAAAGGGAAGUCGGUAAAAUGGAUCUGUAACCUCGGGAAAAAUAUUGGCACUAAGGGUUGGGCAUGGGGGUCCCAGUCCCGAACCCAUCGGUUGUCGGUGGACUACUCGAGCUGCUCUCACAGCGAGAGCGGGUCGCCACGUGCCGGUCGGGGGACGGAUUAGGAACGGGCCCUUCAGGGCCUCUUCCCCGGGCGUCGAACAGUCGACUCAAAACUAGUACGGACAAGGGGAAUUCGACUAUUUAAUUAAAACAAAGCAUUGCGAUGGUCCCUACGGAUGUUGCCGCAAUGUGAUUUCUUCCUAGUGCUCUGAAUGGGAAAGUGAAGAUAUUCAGCCAAGCGCGGGUAAACGACGGGAGUAACUAUGACUCUCUUAAGGUAGCCAAAUGCCUCGACAUCUAAUUAGUGACGUGCAUAAAUGGAUUAACGAGAUUCCCAUUGUGCCUGUGUACUAUCCAACAAAACCACAGCCAAGGGAACAGGCGUGGCAGAAUCUGCGGGGAAAAAAGACCCUGUUGAGCUUGAAUCUAGUCUGACAUUGUGAAAUGACUUGAGAGGUGUAGGAUGAGUCGGAGCUGGAAACAACAGAAGUGAAAUACCACUACUUUUAACGUUAUUUUACUUAUUCCUUGAAUUGGAGGCGGGGUGUAGCCCCUGUUUUUGGACCCAAGGUCGGCCUUGGUGGUCGAUCUGGGCGGAAGACAUUGUCAAGUGGGGAGUAUGGCUAGUGCAGCACAUCUGUUAAAAGAUAACGCAAGUGUCCUAAGAUGAGCUCGACGAGAACAUAAAUCUCAUGUGGAACAAAAGGGUAAAAGCCGAUUUGAUUCUGAUUUCUAGUACGAAUACGAACUGUGAAAGCAUGGCCUAUCGAUCCUUUAGUCCUUCAGAAUUUGAAGCUAGAGGUGUCAGAAAAGUUACCACAUGGAUAACUGGCUUGUGAUAGCCAAGCGUUCAUAGCAAUGUUUUUUUUAUCCUUCGAUGUCGGCUCUUCCUACCAUUGUGAAGCAGAAUUUACCAAGUGUUGGAUUGUUCACCCAAAAAUAGGGAACAUGAGCUGGGUUUAGACCAUCGUGAGACAGAUUAGUUUUACCCUACUGAUGACAGUGUCACAAUAGUAAUUCAAUCUAGUAAGAGAGGAACCAUUAAUUCGCACAAUUGGUCAUUGCGCUUGGUUGAAAAGCUAGUGGUGCGAAGCUACGGUGCGUUCGAUUAUGUCUGAAUGCCUGUAAGUCAGAAUCCGGGCUAGAAGCGAUGCUUGUGCUCGUCACUCAUUUGUCGACCUGCAGUAGGGGGCCUCGGCCGCAUAGAGUCCCGUGUCAUUGGUGACCCUCGCAGGGUAGACGAACCUCGUGGGAUGCCUUGAAGCGCUAUUCCACACUGGGCAGCAGGUAGAAUCCUUUGCAUAUGAAUUAAAUACGCGACGGGGUGUUUUAAGUGGCAGAGUGGCCUUGCUGCCAUGAUCCACUUAGAUUCAAUCCUUGUCGCUUCGAUUCGU
rnacentral:rRNA from 1 species